rnacentral:rRNA from 1 species
UGAGGAAUAUUGGUCAAUGGGCGCAAGCCUGAACCAGCCAAGUAGCGUGAAGGAUGACUGCCCUAUGGGUUGUAAACUUCUUUUAUGCGGGAAUAACCUCGACCAUGUAUGGUCGUUUGCAUGUACCGCAAGAAAAAGCAUCGGCUAAUUCCGUGCCAGCAGCCGCGGUAAUACGGAAGAUGCGAGCGUUAUCCGGAUUUAUUGGGUUUAAAGGGAGCGUAGGCGGACUAUCAAGUCAGUUGUGAAAGUCAUCGGCUCAACCGCUGAAUUGCAGUUGAAACUGGUAGUCUUGAGUGCACAUGAGGAUGGUGGAAUUCGUAGUGUAGCGGUGAAAUGCUUAGAUAUGACGAAGAACUCCGAUUGCGAAGGCAGCUGACGGGAGCGUUACUGACGCUUAAGCUCGAAAGUGCGGGUAUCGAACAGGAUUAGAUACCCUGGUAGU